rnacentral:rRNA from 1 species
AUUGAACGCUGGCGGCAGGCUUAACACAUGCAAGUCGAACGGUAGCACGAAGGAGCUUGCUCCUUGGGUGACGAGUGGCGGACGGGUGAGUAAUGCUUGGGAAUCUGGCUUAUGGAGGGGGAUAACUACGGGAAACUGUAGCUAAUACCGCGUAACAUCUUCGGAUUAAAGUGUGGGACCGCAAGGCCACAUGCCAUGAGAUGAGCCCAAGUGGGAUUAGGUAGUUGGUGGGGUAAAGGCCUACCAAGCCGACGAUCUCUAGCUGGUCUGAGAGGAUGACCAGCCACACUGGAACUGAGACACGGUCCAGACUCCUACGGGAGGCAGCAGUGGGGAAUAUUGCACAAUGGGGGGAACCCUGAUGCAGCCAUGCCGCGUGAAUGAAGAAGGCCUUCGGGUUGUAAAGUUCUUUCGGUAGCGAGGAAGGUGGUAAUGUUAAUAGCAUUAUCAAUUGACGUUAACUACAGAAGAAGCACCGGCUAACUCCGUGCCAGCAGCCGCGGUAAUACGGAGGGUGCGAGCGUUAAUCGGAAUAACUGGGCGUAAAGGGCACGCAGGCGGUUGAUUAAGUGAGAUGUGAAAGCCCCGGGCUUAACCUGGGAAUUGCAUUUCAUACUGGUCAACUAGAGUACUUUAGGGAGGGGUAGAAUUCCACGUGUAGCGGUGAAAUGCGCAGAGAUGUGGAGGAAUACCGAGAGGCGAAGGCAGCCCCUUGGGAAUGUACUGACGCUCAUGUACGAGAGCGAGGGGAGCAAACAGG